rnacentral:lncRNA from 1 species
GGUGUUUUGAAAUCUUUUGACAGCUUCCGAAGUGUUAAUUUCUAACCUUUUUCAGCAGGACCAAAUCACUACUUUCCUUUAAAAUUCUGGACCCAAUUUUUUUUAUAGUGUAAUUUCACCCCCCUACUUGCAAUUUCAGGCAUAAAACAUGGAGAAAUAAAUUUGGAAGGGGUAUAAAAACAAUAUAAAAAGUAACCCACUG